CUUAUCAAGAGCGGUGGAGGGAACGGCCCGAUGAAACCCAGCAACCUGUUAUUCAAGGUGCUAAAUCCGGCGGCAACGAAAGAUGAG
rnacentral:ncRNA from 1 species